ACUGUUAGAUGUCGCUGUAGAUUUAGCAGUACAUUACUGUAAAAAUCCACAGUACUAUACUGUAUGUGUACAUUACAGUACAGUACUGCAGUUCAUAAUGCAUUCUGGGUAAAUUUGUUUGAGCGGGAAAAUUUUACAGUAUAUUUUGGUCUUGAUGUAACCUUGCUGUAGCCAUUGCUGUAAUGUGCCAGGUGUACUUGCAAUAAUCAGAGAAAGUGCGCCAACGUCAAAUCACACAGAGGGAGAGAGAGCACAACUCCUGGCUGCAGCUGAAGGAGGACGAUUGAUUUCUGGCAGUUCGUCUUACCAUUGCUUGUAAGCUGGAUUGGGUAAGAUGGAUCAUCUUUAAAGGCACCAGGAGUUAAGGCAGAUGUGGAGGCACAACGGGUGAUACCAGACACACACCAAGCACAUUAUGUUUGGUAAGUUUGCACUUUACCACUACAGCCACUUUACCACUACAGUUUCUUUAAAUACCCAUGUAUACACUCAUUCACUCAUUCACACACAACACUGUAACACGACCAUACACAACAUGUACACAAUUGUCUUAGUUUGCCAUGUAGAAAUAUACAAACAGAAAUAUUCAGACUUUGGUUAUAAGAAAUUUAAUUUAAUAAUUGUAUUUAUUUAGCAGAGGUGUCCCUGGACUUUAUUGACAAAAGAUUUUGUUUUCAGAAUAAAAAGUUGUGUCCAAAUCAGUAACAAUUGUACUUUCUGUUCAGGACAUUCAAUCAUGACAGGAUCCAGGUGGAUGCUGUCCAUUGAGGAAAGAGUUUGUUCAGCGGUUUCUGGAUAGAAUUAAUUCCAAAGAUGGGAAAAAGUGCACAUCCAGACAAGGAGCAAGCAAAAAGACAAGGAACUUGGUGCAGAGAAAAGCUGUGGCCAUUAACCCCUGUGAACAGCUUCAUGCAGUCGCUGAUUGAGUUCGAAUGGACGACUUCAAAGUAAAGGCCACUGUGGUCUGUCUGCAACAGUUUAAUUUUUAAUUUAUUUUUAGUGUUCAAUGAAAUUCAAGUAGAAUAUUUAAAACUAUGGGCCAGUGUUGUUUUUACCACGGUGAAAUGUUACCUUUUAGUCGAUGAUGGACUUUAAACUGAAAACUUCAAACUAUGGAACAGUGUUCUAUUUGCCAGAGUUAAAUAUGUUACAGCAGGGGUCUCCAAACUUGUUUAUACUUGUUGAUUUUAUUUUAUGUUACUUGAUUAUAUGUUUAUUAUUGUUUAAAAUCUUGUUUUAAAUAUGUUUGUUUCAAUUAAAUGUUUUUUUUAAUAAAAUUUUGAUACAAACAUUGCUUGGAUUGCCUUUUAAUUCAUUAUGUUUUAAUUUAGCAUUUUUACCAUAUUAAUAACUAUAGAUUUAAACCUAAAUCUCUAGCUAUUUUAUAUAAUAUUAUUGUAUUAACUGUAAUAAGUAAUAAAUAGUAUUUAUGGGUCAAUAUAGACAUUACAGUAAAUUACUGUAAAAAUAGACUACUGUAAUAAAAUAUUGUAAAAUUACAGUACAGUACUGCUUUGUAACUAUACAGUACUAGUUUGUGUACUGUAAAAUGGUAUUACAGUACAGUACUGUAAAACCAAAAU